rnacentral:rRNA from 1 species
UACGGAGGGUGCAAGCGUUGCUCGGAAUUAUUGGGCGUAAAGGGUAGGUAGGUGGUCUUAUUUGUCUGGGGUGAAAGCCUCGAGCUUAACUCGAGAAGUGCCCCAGAAACGGUGAGACUAGAGUCUUGGAGAGGGUCGUGGAAUUCCCGGUGUAGCGGUGAAAUGCGUAGAGAUCGGGAGGAAUACCAGAGGCGAAGGCGGCUCACUGGCCCGGUACUGACGCUGAGGUGCGAAAGCGUGGGGAGCAAACAGG